CCUAUUUGUCGCGUUAGAAUUCCCCACCAUACCAAAAAGUUUCGAUCUCUGAAUACGCACGGAAAGGAACCAUUUAGCAGCGGUCACGCAUUGGGCUAGACAAAUACUUAUGUAGCGUGACUGUGCACGACUGAAAACCGGUCUUGCAUCUCAUAACAGAUACGUAUUCAAGGGUGUAUAUUUCGGCGAUACCGAGAAGAAAACUUCUUUCUGAAUGGCGGGUGUGGUAGAAAUCGAUAGCGAGUUUCAGAUGAAGGAGUACUUUCGUAUUCUGGACACGAAGAUUAUAGGGUAUAUACCAUACGAUGAGUUCCAUCUGAUCAUCAAAGGCUUCCAAGGGGAAAUCUCUCUGACCGAUGAGGAAGUCACCAACGUUUUGGACGUCGUCGACAACAACAAAGACGGAAGAAUUACAUUUAAUGAGUUUUACAAGUUUAUGUGUGCUGACUAGGUGAGACGCCAUGGAUCCCGCAACAAGGCCAAACAGUGACAAUGACACUCUCAUACAACUGCGAUCUGUGCUAGCUGAAAGUGGGCAUGUACUCAUUACUGUUUAGAAUUCAAGAUGGCUGAUAACUGUGUUCACCUUGUCUUCUGAUUGGCUACCCUCGUUAUCACGUGACCCCGCCUCAAUGACGUCAUACCCUCGGAAAGUUACCGAUUCCAGAGUCUAGCCCGAAAACACUCCUGCAUCACCUGUUGGAUGUUUCCUCUAUUUCCAUGGUUAUACGUAUAUAUUAUAUAUUUUAUACCAUUUUGAAAUGAACAUAAGCUAUACACAUAUAUAUUGAAACGUUAACGCGAACUAAUACGAAAUAUAUUUUAUGUGAAAUUAACCAAUUUAGAUUAUCAGUGUAUCGAUUUAGCACGUAUUUGUGUCUUGAUCUUGUCCUGAAAGUCAUGAAUUGUAGUACCCAUGUAUUUUUGUGAAUAUAAAAUUGACGGAUUAUUGUUACAAGAAUCUGAUAAUUACAGUAUGUGUUACAUAUAAUAGACCAGUUUCCGCAGGUGUUGUUUCGUUUAGUGUCAAUGAGCUGAAAUAGAAUCUGCAUGACACGGAUGGAUACGAGUCUUUUGCCUGUCACCAAUAGCUAAAGGACAUGGUUUGAACUCUGUACGAGAUGAUAACAUUAUUUUGUAUAAAAUGCACUUCUCUACAAAAACUGAAAAACAAGAAGUACAAUUCUUUAUGGCUGAAAAUGUCAUACGCAAGUCUAACUUGCCAGUCUCAUAGCUGUGAGUUAUAUAUGAAAACAAGUGACAGUAUGUUUGUUUCAAUAAAAAGGCAAAAUCUUUGUAUGCUGUAAAUGACCACGCAUGCAAGGGACGACAAUGUAUGCUCAUGUUGGAAGGACAUUGCUGCUGGAGAUCAUAUUAUAUAUUUAUUUUCGAGGGUUUUGACUCGGAUGUAAACUUACCGUCAACAGAACCCAUGGUACAUACCCAUUACGACGACAAGUAAAUAUUUAGAAGUA